GCAAGUCGAACGAUGAAGCCCAGCUUGCUGGGUGGAUUAGUGGCGAACGGGUGAGUAACACGUGAGUAACCUGCCCCUGACUUCGGGAUAAGCCCGGGAAACUGGGUCUAAUACCGGAUAUGACUGUUGACCGCAUGGUUGGUGGUUGAAAGAUUUAUCGGUGGGGGAUGGACUCGCGGCCUAUCAGCUUGUUGGUGAGGUAAUGGCUCACCAAGGCGACGACGGGUAGCCGGCCUGAGAGGGUGACCGGCCACACUGGGACUGAGACACGGCCCAGACUCCUACGGGAGGCAGCAGUGGGGAAUAUUGCACAAUGGGCGGAAGCCUGAUGCAGCGACGCCGCGUGAGGGAUGACGGCCUUCGGGUUGUAAACCUCUUUCAGUAGGGAAGAAGCGAGAGUGACGGUACCUGCAGAAGAAGCGCCGGCUAACUACGUGCCAGCAGCCGCGGUAAUACGUAGGGCGCAAGCGUUAUCCGGAUUUAUUGGGCGUAAAGAGCUCGUAGGCGGUUUGUCGCGUCUGCCGUGAAAGACCAGGGCUCAACCCUGGUUCUGCGGUGGGUACGGGCAGACUAGAGUGAUGUAGGGGAGACUGGAAUUCCUGGUGUAGCGGUGAAAUGCGCAGAUAUCAGGAGGAACACCGAUGGCGAAGGCAGGUCUCUGGGCAUUUACUGACGCUGAGGAGCGAAAGCAUGGGGAGCGAACAGGAUUAGAUACCCUGGUAGUCCAUGCCGUAAACGUUGGGCACUAGGUGUGGGGGACAUUCCACGUUUUCCGCGCCGUAGCUAACGCAUUAAGUGCCCCGCCUGGGGAGUACGGCCGCAAGGCUAAAACUCAAAGGAAUUGACGGGGGCCCGCACAAGCGGCGGAGCAUGCGGAUUAAUUCGAUGCAACGCGAAGAACCUUACCAAGGCUUGACAUGUUCCAGAYCGCCUCAGAGAUGGGGUUUCCCUUCGGGGCUGGUUCACAGGUGGUGCAUGGUUGUCGUCAGCUCGUGUCGUGAGAUGUUGGGUUAAGUCCCGCAACGAGCGCAACCCUCGUUCCAUGUUGCCAGCGGGUUAUGCCGGGGACUCAUGGGAGACUGCCGGGGUCAACUCGG
rnacentral:rRNA from 1 species